CCUACGGGAGGCUGCAGUGAGGAAUAUUGGUCCAUGGGCGGAAGCCUGAACCAGCCAAGUCGCGUGAGGGAUUAAUGCCCUGCGGGUCGUAAACCUCUUUUGCCGGGGAGCAGUGGUCCGGACGCGUCCGGACCGGGAGAGUACCCGGAGAAAAAGCAUCGGCUAACUCCGUGCCAGCAGCCGCGGUAAUACGGGGGCUGCGAGCGUUAUCCGGAUUUGUUGGGUUUAAAGGGUGCGUAGGCGGGCAUUUAAGCCGGCGGUAAAAUGUCGGGGCUCAAACCCGGCCUGCCGUCGGAACUGGGUGCCUUGAGUGGGCGAGAAGUAUGCGGAAUGCGUGGUGUAGCGGUGAAAUGCAUAGAUAUCACGCAGAACCCCGAUUGCGAAGGCAGCAUACCGGCGCCCUACUGACGCUGAGGCACGAAAGUGCGGGUAUCGAACAGGAUUAGAUACCCCUGUAGUC
rnacentral:rRNA from 1 species